GUAUGUGUAUUAUGGACCAGAGUGGCUUGAGACAACUGAAACUGUCUUAUCAUUAAAAAGUUGUAUUUUUGUACAUUUCCAUCCUUCUACCCUUUAGGACAAGCCCAUUAUUCGGAAGUCCAGUUACGAGGAUCCUGACAAGUGCCUGCUUCUCUAUGGUGAUG
rnacentral:lncRNA from 1 species